CUUGUUAAAGCUCUUUUUCUCUCUUGCCUUUAAUUCCCUUUCUAAUUCUCCUCUUUCUUUUCUUCUUGCUUUUCUGUUGAUGUGAAUGGAUCGAGGAUGGACUUCAGAUUGAGUUGAAGGUGAGGUUAUGGACCUAUUCACGGAUUGAACGAAAUCGAUGAUUGGGAUGGAUAAAGGUGAGGGAUUGUGUGAGGGUUGAGCAAUGAUUGAUGAAGGUUGAAGAUGGAUUGAGAUUUUGAGUUGAGAGAGAGUGAAGGUGAAUCCUGUUGGAGAGUGGUUGAGUCAUGCUGAAUGUGAAACUGGUUGGGAUUUUUUUGGAGUGAAAAUGACUGAAAAUAUUGAGUGAAUGAUUAGAGAUGCAUUUAUAGGUGGUUUGGGCAUUGGGAUUGUGAAAUUCGGUUAUGAGUUUUCAGUUAAGGAAUUUGUGAAAUUCGAUAUAAUUAGUUUGUUAGGUAGUUAUUCAGUUCCUGACUUGUUGUGGUCCUCCAUUUAAAAUCCAGCUGGCAAGUUGUGUUAGUUGUUGCUAACUUGCAACUGACUUUGUUGAUCACAAUGUAUUUAAUUUGCCUGACUUCAGCUAUGAUUAAACUCUGUCAGUUAGGUUGGUUAGCUAGUUCAAUUUGGAAGGUUUUGUUAGGUUUGAUGUUCACUUGUGAAUUGGUGAAUUAUCGUGGCUUGGUGUGUGUUGAAGGAUCAUAUUGGUAGAGCUUUUCCUGAUUCUGCAGGUUCAUUUUGCAGCAGGUCUGCAUAUGCUGCUAGCUAUUGGCUCAGCCCUAUUGGAAUUAAUGUUGUAGCUGAUUUGUUGCAGGUACUAUGGACUGAUGGGAAUAAAGUGCCAAUGAUACUUCUUGCUUUGUUUGUACUAUUAUGACCUUGCUUGAUCAUGGCUUUGUUUUUGGUCUUGCAGCAUGCAUUGUUUUGCCAGGUUUGGGAAAUGGCUCUUGUACUGCAGGUCUGAUGCAGAGUUGCAACAAGGGUCUGUAAUUGGUUGAUAUGCCUUACUACUUGUUGUAGGGUUUAUGUUAUGACUUGGCUCUGUAGAACUAAUAUGUUGAGCUUGCAUUGUAGAUUGCAUAUUCUACAGGGUUAUAUUGCUUGUUGGAUGGGAUAGUGCAUGUUGGUUGCAUUGUAGCAGGCUACUUCACAAUGCAUUAGAAGGACCUUGGAUGCACACCUGCAGGAGAACUAGGCUUAUUCUAGCUAGCUGCAAAUGCACUACAACAGGUUUACAAAGUGGUUCUGCCUUGAUGUUGCAGGAGGUUAGGCAAAUAUAUUUCAAGCAAUGCUUUCUUUUUUGGGUUUGCAGGGCAUGUGAGGUCUGCUUCUGUUUUGCAUUGUAUGCUUAGUAUAACAUGACCUUGUUUCAUGUUGUU